GGGGAUGUUUUGGUUUUGACAGCAUUCACAAUCGGAAGGUAAGCACGUCGAGCGUUGUAUCCCCGGCUCGUAAAUCCCGGAGUACAAGCCAUAACUGGCAACAAUAACUAUGCACUCGCUGCGUAAUUNNUACAAGCCAUAACAGGCAAUAACAACUUAGCACUCGCUGCGUAAUUAGGCUCUGCCUGAUUCCUUAAUUGCCACCGGCCAGGUCCGGUCGCGACGAGUAUCCCGCCGAUCUUUGCGCCGUCUAUGUUUCGGUAUAUGGGGUAUCAUUAAAGUACGGAUGCGGAGAUCUACGCCUCUAAA
rnacentral:tmRNA from 1 species